UACAGAGGUGGCAAGCGUUGUUCGGAAUUACUGGGCGUAAAGGGCUCGUAGGUGGCCAACUAAGUCAGACGUGAAAUCCCUCGGCUUAACCGGGGAACUGCAUCUGAUACUGGAUGGCUUGAGUUCGGGAGAGGGAUGCGGAAUUCCAGGUGUAGCGGUGAAAUGCGUAGAUAUCUGGAGGAACACCGGUGGCGAAGGCGGCAUCCUGGACCGACACUGACGCUGAGGAGCGAAAGCCAGGGGAGCAAACGGG
rnacentral:rRNA from 1 species